CGCUACUUAGAUACAAACAAGCCUUGAACAUUCGAAACGAAGUCCAAUUCAGUAUCUUUUUUGAAACUUAAUAUUUAUGCAAAGUGGCUAACUUUUAUCGCCCCAAGAUUGCAAAACGCAUAAUGUAGUUCAGAAACAAAUUGUUGAGUUCUUGAGUGUCAUCCAAAUUCGCUACAAAUGGCAGCAAAUAAAUUUGACUCAAAAUUCCCCAAAAACCAGAAGCGAAUUCGCUUUGCAAAUAUUUACUAGCCUGUUUGUGUACGUAAAUGGAACUUUGCACAGUCGUUAGUGAAAAUGACUGAUAUAUUGUGAUUUUUGUGGUAUGUUACGCUUAGCCUUGGCAAAGUGCAUUCAAUUAUGUUGUAAGUACUUAAAACAUAUU
rnacentral:sRNA from 1 species